UACAGAGGGUGCGAGCGUUGUCCGGAAUCACUGGGCGUAAAGGGCGCGUAGGUGGCGCGACAAGUCAGUGGUGAAAGCUCGAUGCUUAACAUCGAGUCGGCCACUGAUACUGUUGGGCUUGAGCACUGUAGAGGCUAAUGGAAUUCCGGGUGUAGCGGUGGAAUGCGUAGAGAUCCGGAAGAACACCGGUGGCGAAGGCGGUUAGCUGGGCAGUUGCUGACACUGAGGCGCGGACAGC
rnacentral:rRNA from 1 species